rnacentral:rRNA from 1 species
ACCUACGGGGGGCAGCAGUGAGGAAUAUUGGUCAAUGGUCGGGAGACUGAACCAGCCAAGCCGCGUGAGGGAUGAAGGUACAGAGUAUCGUAAACCUCUUUUGUCAGGGAACAAAGGCGGGGACGUGUCCCUGGAUGAGUGUACCUGAAGAAAAAGCAUCGGCUAACUCCGUGCCAGCAGCCGCGGUAAUACGGAGGAUGCGAGCGUUAUCCGGAUUUAUUGGGUUUAAAGGGUGCGCAGGCGGUCUGUUAAGUCAGCGGUCAAAGCCCGGGGCUCAACCCCGGCCCGCCGUUGAAACUGGCAGG